GACGAACCGUGCGAACGUUGUUCGGAAUCACUGGGCUUAAAGGGCGCGUAGGCGGGCUGCCAAGUCUGGGGUGAAAUCCCACGGCUCAACCGUGGAACUGCCUCGGAUACUGGCGGCCUCGAGGGAGGUAGGGGCGUGCGGAACUGUGGGUGGAGCGGUGAAAUGCGUUGAUAUCCACAGGAACUCCGGUGGCGAAGGCGGCCUUCUGGACAGCGACUGACGCUGAGACGCGAAAGCGUGGGGAGCAAACAGG
rnacentral:rRNA from 1 species